rnacentral:rRNA from 1 species
UACGUAGGGUGCAAGCGUUGUCCGGAAUUAUUGGGCGUAAAGAGCUCGUAGGCGGUUUGUCGCGUCUGCCGUGAAAGUCCGGGGGCUCAACUCCGGAUCUGCGGUGGGUACGGGUAGACUAGAGUGAUGUAGGGGGAGACUGGAAUUCCUGGUGUAGCGGUGAAAUGCGCAGAUAUCAGGAGGAACACCGGUGGCGAAAGGCGGGGUCUCUGGGCCGGUACCGACGCUGAGGAGCGAAAGCGUGGGGGAGCGAACAGG